rnacentral:rRNA from 1 species
UAAGCGACUAAGCGUACACGGUGGAUGCCCUGGCAGUCAGAGGCGAUGAAGGACGUGCUAAUCUGCGAUAAGCGUCGGUGAGGUGAUAUGAACCGUUAUAACCGGCGAUUUCCGAAUGGGGAAACCCAGUGUGUUUCGACACACUAUCAUUAACUGAAUCCAUAGGUUAAUGAGGCGAACCGGGGGAACUGAAACAUCUAAGUACCCCGAGGAAAAGAAAUCAACCGAGAUUCCCCCAGUAGCGGCGAGCGAACGGGGAGGAGCCCAGAGCCUGAAUCAGUGUGUGUGUUAGUGGAAGCGUCUGGAAAGGCGCGCGAUACAGGGUGACAGCCCCGUACACAAAAAUGCACAUAUUGUGAGCUCGAUGAGUAGGGCGGGACACGUGGUAUCCUGUCUGAAUAUGGGGGGACCAUCCUCCAAGGCUAAAUACUCCUGACUGACCGAUAGUGAACCAGUACCGUGAGGGAAAGGCGAAAAGAACCCCGGCGAGGGGAGUGAAAAAGAACCUGAAACCGUGUACGUACAAGCAGUGGGAGCCUCUUUAUGGGGUGACUGCGUACCUUUUGUAUAAUGGGUCAGCGACUUAUAUUCUGUAGCAAGGUUAACCGAAUAGGGGAGCCGAAGGGAAACCGAGUCUUAACUGGGCGUUAAGUUGCAGGGUAUAGACCCGAAACCCGGUGAUCUAGCCAUGGGCAGGUUGAAGGUUGGGUAACACUAACUGGAGGACCGAACCGACUAAUGUUGAAAAAUUAGCGGAUGACUUGUGGCUGGGGGUGAAAGGCCAAUCAAACCGGGAGAUAGCUGGUUCUCCCCGAAAGCUAUUUAGGUAGCGCCUCGUGAAUUCAUCUCCGGGGGUAGAGCACUGUUUCGGCAAGGGGGUCAUCCCGACUUACCAACCCGAUGCAAACUGCGAAUACCGGAGAAUGUUAUCACGGGAGACACACGGCGGGUGCUAACGUCCGUCGUGAAGAGGGAAACAACCCAGACCGCCAGCUAAGGUCCCAAAGUCAUGGUUAAGUGGGAAACGAUGUGGGAAGGCCCAGACAGCCAGGAUGUUGGCUUAGAAGCAGCCAUCAUUUAAAGAAAGCGUAAUAGCUCACUGGUCGAGUCGGCCUGCGCGGAAGAUGUAACGGGGCUAAACCAUGCACCGAAGCUGCGGCAGCGACACUAUGUGUUGUUGGGUAGGGGAGCGUUCUGUAAGCCUGUGAAGGUGGCCUGUGAGGGUUGCUGGAGGUAUCAGAAGUGCGAAUGCUGACAUAAGUAACGAUAAAGCGGGUGAAAAGCCCGCUCGCCGGAAGACCAAGGGUUCCUGUCCAACGUUAAUCGGGGCAGGGUGAGUCGACCCCUAAGGCGAGGCCGAAAGGCGUAGUCGAUGGGAAACAGGUUAAUAUUCCUGUACUUGGUGUUACUGCGAAGGGGGGACGGAGAAGGCUAUGUUGGCCGGGCGACGGUUGUCCCGGUUUAAGCGUGUAGGCUGGUUUUCCAGGCAAAUCCGGAAAACCAAGGCUGAGGCGUGAUGACGAGGCACUACGGUGCUGAAGCGACAAAUGCCCUGCUUCCAGGAAAAGCCUCUAAGCAUCAGGUAACAUCAAAUCGUACCCCAAACCGACACAGGUGGUCAGGUAGAGAAUACCAAGGCGCUUGAGAGAACUCGGGUGAAGGAACUAGGCAAAAUGGUGCCGUAACUUCGGGAGAAGGCACGCUGAUAUGUAGGUGAAGCGACUUGCUCGUGGAGCUGAAAUCAGUCGAAGAUACCAGCUGGCUGCAACUGUUUAUUAAAAACACAGCACUGUGCAAACACGAAAGUGGACGUAUACGGUGUGACGCCUGCCCGGUGCCGGAAGGUUAAUUGAUGGGGUUAGCGGUAACGCGAAGCUCUUGAUCGAAGCCCCGGUAAACGGCGGCCGUAACUAUAACGGUCCUAAGGUAGCGAAAUUCCUUGUCGGGUAAGUUCCGACCUGCACGAAUGGCGUAAUGAUGGCCAGGCUGUCUCCACCCGAGACUCAGUGAAAUUGAACUCGCUGUGAAGAUGCAGUGUACCCGCGGCAAGACGGAAAGACCCCGUGAACCUUUACUAUAGCUUGACACUGAACAUUGAGCCUUGAUGUGUAGGAUAGGUGGGAGGCUUUGAAGUGUGGACGCCAGUCUGCAUGGAGCCGACCUUGAAAUACCACCCUUUAAUGUUUGAUGUUCUAACGUUGGCCCGUAAUCCGGGUUGCGGACAGUGUCUGGUGGGUAGUUUGACUGGGGCGGUCUCCUCCUAAAGAGUAACGGAGGAGCACGAAGGUUGGCUAAUCCUGGUCGGACAUCAGGAGGUUAGUGCAAUGGCAUAAGCCAGCUUGACUGCGAGCGUGACGGCGCGAGCAGGUGCGAAAGCAGGUCAUAGUGAUCCGGUGGUUCUGAAUGGAAGGGCCAUCGCUCAACGGAUAAAAGGUACUCCGGGGAUAACAGGCUGAUACCGCCCAAGAGUUCAUAUCGACGGCGGUGUUUGGCACCUCGAUGUCGGCUCAUCACAUCCUGGGGCUGAAGUAGGUCCCAAGGGUAUGGCUGUUCGCCAUUUAAAGUGGUACGCGAGCUGGGUUUAGAACGUCGUGAGACAGUUCGGUCCCUAUCUGCCGUGGGCGCUGGAGAACUGAGGGGGGCUGCUCCUAGUACGAGAGGACCGGAGUGGACGCAUCACUGGUGUUCGGGUUGUCAUGCCAAUGGCACUGCCCGGUAGCUAAAUGCGGAAGAGAUAAGUGCUGAAAGCAUCUAAGCACGAAACUUGCCCCGAGAUGAGUUCUCCCUGACUCCUUGAGAGUCCUGAAGGAACGUUGAAGACGACGACGUUGAUAGGCCGGGUGUGUAAGCGCAGCGAUGCGUUGAGCUAACCGGUACUAAUGAACCGUGAGGCUUAACCUU